rnacentral:rRNA from 1 species
UACGAAGGGAGCUAGCGUUGUUCGGAAUCACUGGGCGUAAAGCGCACGUAGGCGGAUGUGUCAGUCAGGGUGAAAUCCCGGAGCUCAACUUCGGAACUGCCUUUGAUACAGCACAUCUGGAGUCCGGAAGAGGUGGGUGGAAUUCCUGGUGGUAGCGGUGAAAUGCGCAGAUAUCAGGAGAACACCCGUGGCUAAGGCGGCUCUCUAGUACGGUACUGACGCUGAGACGCGAAAGCGUGGGGAGCGAACAGG